rnacentral:rRNA from 1 species
AGCGAACGCUGGCGGCAGGCCUAACACAUGCAAGUCGAACGAACCUUUCGGGGUUAGUGGCGGACGGGUGAGUAACACGUGGGAACGUGCCUUUAGGUUCGGAAUAACUCAGGGAAACUUGUGCUAAUACCGAAUGUGCCCUUCGGGGGAAAGAUUUAUCGCCUUUAGAGCGGCCCGCGUCUGAUUAGCUAGUUGGUUGAGGUAAUGGCUCACCAAGGCGACGAUCAGUAGCUGGUCUGAGAGGAUGAUCAGCCACAUUGGGACUGAGACACGGCCCAAACUCCUACGGGAGGCAGCAGGGGGGAAUCUUGCGCAAUGGGCGAAAGCCUGACGCAGCCAUGCCGCGUGAAUGAUGAAGGUCUUAGGAUUGUAAAAUUCUUUCACCGGGGACGAUAAUGACGGUACCCGGAGAAGAAGCCCCGGCUAACUUCGU